GAGAGCUUGCUCUCAAGAAGUUAGCGGCGGACGGGUGAGUAACACGUGGGUAACCUGCCCAUAAGACUGGGAUAACUCCGGGAAACCGGGGCUAAUACCGGAUAACAUUUUGAACUGCAUGGUUCGAAAUUGAAAGGCGGCUUCGGCUGUCACUUAUGGAUGGACCCGCGUCGCAUUAGCUAGUUGGUGAGGUAACGGCUCACCAAGGCAACGAUGCGUAGCCGACCUGAGAGGGUGAUCGGCCACACUGGGACUGAGACACGGCCCAGACUCCUACGGGAGGCAGCAGUAGGGAAUCUUCCGCAAUGGACGAAAGUCUGACGGAGCAACGCCGCGUGAGUGAUGAAGGCUUUCGGGUCGUAAAACUCUGUUGUUAGGGAAGAACAAGUGCUAGUUGAAUAAGCUGGCACCUUGACGGUACCUAACCAGAAAGCCACGGCUAACUACGUGCCAGCAGCCGCGGUAAUACGUAGGUGGCAAGCGUUAUCCGGAAUUAUUGGGCGUAAAGCGCGCGCAGGUGGUUUCUUAAGUCUGAU
rnacentral:rRNA from 1 species